GGGGCUAUAGCUCAGGUGGAUAGAGCAGCGGAUUCCUAAUCCGGAGGUCAGAGGUUCGAGUCCUCUUAGCCCCGCCA
rnacentral:tRNA from 1 species